rnacentral:rRNA from 1 species
ACGAACGCUGGCGGCGUGCCUAAUACAUGCAAGUCGAGCGGAAUGAUGAAGAAGCUUGCUUCUUCUGAUUUUAGCGGCGGACGGGUGAGUAACACGUGGGCAACCUACCUUGUAGAUUGGGAUAACUCCGGGAAACCGGGGCUAAUACCGAAUAAUCCAUUUUGCUUCAUGGCGAGAUGUUGAAAGACGGUUUCGGCUGUCACUAUAAGAUGGGCCCGCGGCGCAUUAGCUAGUUGGUAGGGUAAUGGCCUACCAAGGCGACGAUGCGUAGCCGACCUGAGAGGGUGAUCGGCCACACUGGGACUGAGACACGGCCCAGACUCCUACGGGAGGCAGCAGUAGGGAAUCUUCCACAAUGGACGAAAGUCUGAUGGAGCAACGCCGCGUGAGUGAAGAAGGUUUUCGGAUCGUAAAACUCUGUUGUAAGGGAAGAACACGUGCGAGAGUAACUGCUCGUACCUUGACGGUACCUUAUUAGAAAGCCACGGCUAACUACGUG